rnacentral:lncRNA from 1 species
AUAACCUGUUGAACAGAUCUCAUUAUCUUGGCAAACUUCAUUAGUGGCAUAUCCGUGGUUAGCCCUCAGAGAGUUCAGUGACGUACUCUUAUGUUCAGAAGUAACCAACAAGAUGCUCUUUUGUAGGGAGUGUUUAAAAAAGAAGACGAUGUGGACAUGCUUGGUGAAGAGUUCAGGAAAGCAUAUCAGAAAAAGAGUGAAGUCUGUGAAGAGAAGGGGUCUUCAUAGCAAGAUUGGGCGAAACCUGGAGUUUUCAGAUGCUGCCACUAGAUGUCAGCACAACUGCUGUUUCCAGUUGGUGACAGUAGGCCCUGGUCUACUGUCUAUUUGCAUGUUCUAAAACAUCUCAUAUUUCAUCAUUUAUACUUAGACAGAUUAAACAAUUGGUACGUU